rnacentral:lncRNA from 1 species
CCGGCUUCCCUCGUAACGUGUCCGAGACAAAAGAAAAAAAAAACCCGACUCCGCCCAUCUCCAUCUCCAUCUCCAGUGCCGCCAUCGUCGCCUCCGCACCAGGUGCUCCCCUCCAUCCUCCCCCAUCGCCGCCGCCCCAGUCCCUGCAGCAUCUCCCCUCCCCUCCCCUCCCACGACCCCUUCAAUGACGACGCUGCGACGACGAUCUCCCAGUCCCUAACGCCGCCUCUCACCUCCAUCACGCACGCCGCCUCCACCUCCACGACGCAGCCAGGGACGCAGGCUGCACGUCGACGCCAGGGCAUCCGCGGACGCACGCCCCCAGCAGCCAACGCCGCCGACGCACGCCGCGCGCGGAUAGGGCAGCACGACGCUGCAGACACACGCCCCGCGCAACCGCCGUCCCGGGCAGGGCAGCACGCCGCCGCGGCCGCACACCCUAUGCAGCCGUGGAGGUAAGCACGCCGCACGCCAUGCGCCACUGACGCCGUGGAGGCACGCCGCGGACGGGAGGCACGUCGCGGACAGGGAGGCACCCUGCGGACGCACGCCACGGCCAGGGCACGCCGCGCGCCGGUGACGACGCGUAGGCACGCCGCCGGAGCAUGCUGCGGCGGACGCCGCCACGGACAGUUGUCCAAGUUCAAGGCCAAGUCCUGUCGCCCCGUCAUCCUUCUGCUUCACCGUCGAGGUACGCCCGCACACAGCUUAAUCGUGAAUAAAUAGAUUGUUUAGCAUUGGAUGAUUCUACUCGUAGUGAUUUUUCAGUACUGAAAUUAGAUGCGCGUGCCAAGUAAAUUUACAAGAAAAGGAUCUCGAUUGAUUUAAAAAAAACUGGGUUUUGUCUUAUUUACAUAUAUCUAAUUAAAUAGAGCUAAAUUAAGAACAAAGGGAUCUCUAUGAUUUACAAACCCAGUUAAAUUGAUCAAGGCUAGGAGCAGAACAACUUACAUUUUUCUUCGUUUUAUUUAUCCUGCAUUAGGGGAUCCCGAUGAUUUACAAACUCAGUUAUUUAUAAACCCAGUUAUUUAUUUGAGUGAUUUGACAGCUAAGUACAUCCUUGUUCUUUUCCUUUUGGAACGACUCAGUAGAUUUAUACAUGUCAAUAUCAUAUCCAUGUCUGUACUCCCUCUUUGGUUACAUCUGAUAUCGAUUGAGGUAUCAUAUAUUUCUAUACAACUGAUUCCAAUUGAUCUCCAACUAAGGUUCACAUAGAACUGACCCGGCAUGGUGGAUAGGCAACAAUGUCGUUGUGCAUUUAGCGACAUAUCAAACACUGUUGGAGAGGGUACGUUCAUUGAUAUCGUUCUAGCUCAGAUUCAGAGAUUUUUGUCUAGCAAAGCUGUGACACAGAUUAUAUAUCACAACAUAUGCAGAUGAAGAGACAAAAAUGAGGGAAGAGAGGAAUAGAAAACAAUGUGAAUACAGUGCACGGAAAAGGGCUGAACAAACCAUUGAACAGAGAGAAGAACAUAAUAGAAAGCAAUGUGAAUAUCGUGCAAGGAAGAAAACACUGGCAAUAUCAACGACUCCUAAUCAUGGUAUUCCUUAUCUGAACUGAUCAUGCUAUUCCUAAGAGGAAUUUGUUGCAGAAGAGGACCCCAAAAAUUUGAGACAAUGCAGAUUCUUGGUGAAGGUAACUCCUACUUAAAUUAUCAUUAUUGUUUGUAACCAUUUGGAGUGACUGCCAUAUUAACAGUUUUUGUUGUUGGACCUACAGAAAACUUGUCAACCAUUCCUUGCUUCUAAACAAUUCGCAACUUAUUUGUAGUAUCCGAGACAUGGCUUUAUUAUUUCCUAUUUAUUCAUGAGUGUAUUACGGAUUAUAUUAUAUGAAUGAUUAUAUGCAAUUGCCUGAGACUAAAAACUAUAAAAAAAACUAUCGUUGUUUCGUUAAAAAUGGAUGUUUUCAAGUGCAUCUCUAGAAUGAACCCGUAGCGUUAGCACGGGCACUAUACUAGUUAAUAGUAAUGAGCUAACCAUUAUAUGAGUGGACUGCAAGAAGGCAAUAAAGAAAUCUUACCGCUAGCAGCUGGCUGUAUUAUAACACUUGCUUAACACUUGCUUUAAUAAUGAUAGGUCUUUGUAGAAUUGUAGUUCAAGCUGGGCUCCCUGUUCGUCGCAGGUUGCGGUUGCACACGUACCAUGAAGCUAUGCGGUUGUGCGGUAGGGAUGAGUGAAGAGGCCACGAGGAUUAGGGAAUUUUGAUUUCUGAAUUGGGGAAUUGAUUUAGGUCUUGUUUAGUUUGUGAGAAUUUUUAGAUUUGGCUACUACAAUAUUUUUGUUUGUAUUUAGUAAUUAUUAUUCAAUCAUGGACUAAUUAGAUUUAAUAAAUUGUAUAAUUAGUUAUUUAUAUUUAAUAUUCUAUGUAUGUAUCUAAAGAUUUGAUGUGAUAGAGAAUCUUAAAUUUUUAAGAAUUAAACAAGGCCUUAGCUGUUGAGAAGAGGAGGAGAAAGGCAGCUAUGAAGGAUUAUCUUCCAAUGCAAACUUGUGGUGACUCGUGAGUGGCAAGCGAGUUACGUGCUUCCUAGAC